GGUUACAGGUAAGGACGACUAGCCUCGUUUGAACGAAUCUGAGCGAUAAGGACGUGAUUAGAUACGUAUUAUCAGCCGCCUAACACUUCGCUGGGAUCUUUUUUGUCCAAUCUGUCGUCCCUUUCAAUCGCGUUCGAACAUAACUCCACAUAAGCAGUGUUUUCCUGUGACCUCCUGUGUUGUUUUUUGAAGUGAAGUAGAUGAGAUCGCAAGUGCCGUGACUUGAGCGCCUAAUAUUGACACUGUCCUUUCGUUGCUAUCCCUUUUGAGGAAGUAAAAAGGGG